GACGAACGCUGGCGGCGUGCUUAACACAUGCAAGUCGAACGGUGAAGGGGUCUGCUUUUGUGGGCCCUGGAUGAGUGGCGAACGGGUGAGUAACACGUGAGUAACCUGCCCCCUUCUUCUGGAUAACCGCAUGAAAGUGUGGCUAAUACGGGAUAUUCUGGGUCUGUCGCAUGAUGGGUCUGGGAAAGAUUGCGCCUUUGGGUGUUUUUGGUGGGGGAUGGGCUCGCGGCCUAUCAGCUUGUUGGUGGGGUGAUGGCCUACCAAGGCGGUGACGGGUAGCCGGCCUGAGAGGGUGGGCGGUCACACUGGGACUGAGACACGGCCCAGACUCCUACGGGAGGCAGCAGUGGGGAAUAUUGCACAAUGGGCGCAAGCCUGAUGCAGCGACGCCGCGUGAGGGAUGGAGGCCUUCGGGUUGUAAACCUCUUUCGCCAGUGAAGCAGGCCUGCUCCUUGUGGGUGGGUUGACGGUAGCUGGAUAAGAAGCGCCGGCUAACUACGUG
rnacentral:rRNA from 1 species